GACGAACGCUGGCGGCGUGCUUAACACAUGCAAGUCGAACGGUGAACCCUCUUCGGAGGGGGAUCAGUGGCGAACGGGUGAGUAACACGUGAGCAACCUGCCCUUAGCUCUGGGAUAACCCCGGGAAACCGGGGCUAAUACCGGAUACGAGACCGCGCGGCAUCACGCGGUCUGGAAAGUUUUUCGGCUAAGGAUGGGCUCGCGGCCUAUCAGCUUGUUGGUGGGGUAACGGCCGACCAAGGCGACGACGGGUAGCCGGCCUGAGAGGGCGACCGGCCACACUGGGACUGAGACACGGCCCAGACUCCUACGGGAGGCAGCAGUGGAGAAUCUUGCGCAAUGGGCGAAAGCCUGACGCAGCGACGCCGCGUGAGGGAUGAAGGCCUUCGGGUUGUAAACCUCUUUCAGCAGGGAAGAAGCGAAAGUGACGGUACCUGCAGAAGAAGCACCGGCUAACUACGUGCCAGCCGCCGCGGUAACAC
rnacentral:rRNA from 1 species